rnacentral:rRNA from 1 species
UACGUAGGUGGCGAGCGUUGUCCGGAUUUAUUGGGUUUAAAGGGUGCGUAGGCGGUCCUAUAAGUCAGUGCUGAAAUAUCCCGGCUUAACCGGGAGGGUGGCAUUGAUACUGAUGGACUUGAGUAAAGUUGAGGUUGGCGGAAUUGACGGUGUAGCGGUGAAAUGCUUAGAUAUCGUCAAGAACACCUAUUGCGAAGGCAGCUAACUAAGCUUAAACUGACGCUGAGGCACGAAAGUGUGGGGAUCAAACAGG